CUCUCUUCGUAGGCUAAUGCAUUGGCCCUUUUUGACCCGUUUUGGGGCGAAAACAAAAACUGACUCCCGGGCAUAUUUUUUUCGGCCUUUAUGGGCAGAGAACUUUAAUACCGCUCGAAAUGAGGCCACCCAGUAGUUAGGUGUGAAUUUUCGAGACCUUUGGCACCGUUCUAAGAUGGGUCCUCUCUUCGUAGGCUAAUGCAUUGGCCCUUUUUGACCCGUUUUGGGGCGAAAACAAAAACUGACUCCCGGGCAUAUUUUUUUCGGCCUUUAUGGGCAGAGAACUUUAAUACCGCUCAAAAUGAGGCCACCCAGUAGUUAGGUGUGAAUUUUCGAGACCUUUGGCACCGUUCUAAGAUGGGUCCUCUCUUCGUAGGCUAAUGCAUUGGCCCUUUUUGACCCGUUUUGGGGCGAAAACAAAAACUGACUCCCGGGCAUAUUUUUUUCGGCCUUUAUGGGCAGAGAACUUUAAUGCCGCUCGGAAUGAGGCCACCCAGUAGUUAGGUGUGAAUUUUCGAGACCUUUGGCACCGUUCUAAGAUGGGUCCUCUCUUCGUAGGCUAAUGCAUUGGCCCUUUUUGACCCGUUUUGGGGCGAAAACAAAAACUGACUCCCGGGCAUAUUUUUUUUCGGCCUUUAUGGGCAGAGAACUUUAAUGCCGCUCGGAAUGAGGCCACCCAGUAGUUAGGUGUGAAUUUUCGAGACCUUUGGCACCGUUCUAAGAUGGGUCCUCUCUUCGUAGGCUAAUGCAUUGGCCCUUUUUGACCCGUUUUGGGGCGAAAACAAAAACUGACUCCCGGGCAUAUUUUUUUCGGCCUUUAUGGGCAGAGAACUUUAAUGCCGCUCAGAAUGAGGCCACCCAGUAGUUAGGUGUGAAUUUUCGAGACCUUUGGCACCGUUCUAAGAUGGGUCCUCUCUUCGUAGGCUAAUGCAUUGGCCCUUUUUGACCCGUUUUGGGGCGAAAACAAAAACUGACUCCCGGGCAUAUUUUUUUUCGGCCUUUAUGGGCAGAGAACUUUAAUGCCGCUCAGAAUGAGGCCACCCAGUAGUUAGGUGUGAAUUUUCGAGACCUUUGGCACCGUUCUAAGAUGGGUCCUCUCUUCGUAGGCUAAUGCAUUGGCCCUUUUUGACCCGUUUUGGGGCGAAAACAAAAACUGACUCCCGGGCAUAUUUUUUUCGGCCUUUAUGGGCAGAGAACUUUAAUGCCGCUCGGAAUGAGGCCACCCAGUAGUUAGGUGUGAAUUUUCGAGACCUUUGGCACCGUUCUAAGAUGGGUCCUCUCUUCGUAGGCUAAUGCAUUGGCCCUUUUUGACCCGUUUUGGGGCGAAAACAAAAACUGACUCCCGGGCAUAUUUUUUUCGGCCUUUAUGGGCAGAGAACUUUAAUGCCGCUCGGAAUGAGGCCACCCAGUAGUUAGGUGUGAAUUUUCGAGACCUUUGGCACCGUUCUAAGAUGGGUCCUCUCUUCGUAGGCUAAUGCAUUGGCCCUUUUUUGACCCGUUUUGGGGCGAAAACAAAAACUGACUCCCGGGCAUAUUUUUUUCGGCCUUUAUGGGCAGAGAACUUUAAUGCCGCUCAGAAUGAGGCCACCCAGUAGUUAGGUGUGAAUUUUCGAGACCUUUGGCACCGUUCUAAGAUGGGUCCUCUCUUCGUAGGCUAAUGCAUUGGCCCUUUUUGACCCGUUUUGGGGCGAAAACAAAAACUGACUCCCGGGCAUAUUUUUUUCGGCCUUUAUGGGCAGAGAACUUUAAUGCCGCUCAGAAUGAGGCCACCCAGUAGUUAGGUGUGAAUUUUCGAGACCUUUGGCACCGUUCUAAGAUGGGUCCUCUCUUCGUAGGCUAAUGCAUUGGCCCUUUUUGACCCGUUUUGGGGCGAAAACAAAAACUGACUCCCGGGCAUAUUUUUUUCGGCCUUUAUGGGCAGAGAACUUUAAUGCCGCUCAGAAUGAGGCCACCCAGUAGUUAGGUGUGAAUUUUCGAGACCUUUGGCACCGUUCUAAGAUGGGUCCUCUCUUCGUAGGCUAAUGCAUUGGCCCUUUUUGACCCGUUUUGGGGCGAAAACAAAAACUGACUCCCGGGCAUAUUUUUUUCGGCCUUUAUGGGCAGAGAACUUUAAUGCCGCUCAGAAUGAGGCCACCCAGUAGUUAGGUGUGAAUUUUCGAGACCUUUGGCACCGUUCUAAGAUGGGUCCUCUCUUCGUAGGCUAAUGCAUUGGCCCUUUUUGACCCGUUUUGGGGCGAAAACAAAAACUGACUCCCGGGCAUAUUUUUUUUCGGCCUUUAUGGGCAGAGAACUUUAAUGCCGCUCAGAAUGAGGCCACCCAGUAGUUAGGUGUGAAUUUUCGAGACCUUUGGCACCGUUCUAAGAUGGGUCCUCUCUUCGUAGGCUAAUGCAUUGGCCCUUUUUGACCCGUUUUGGGGCGAAAACAAAAACUGACUCCCGGGCAUAUUUUUUUCGGCCUUUAUGGGCAGAGAACUUUAAUGCCGCUCAGAAUGAGGCCACCCAGUAGUUAGGUGUGAAUUUUCGAGACCUCUGGCACCGUUCUAAGAUGGGUCCUCUCUUCGUAGGCUAAUGCAUUGGCCCUUUUUGACCCGUUUUGGGGCGAAAACAAAAACUGACUCCCGGGCAUAUUUUUUUCGGCCUUUAUGGGCAGAGAACUUUAAUGCCGCUCAGAAUGAGGCCACCCAGUAGUUAGGUGUGAAUUUUCGAGACCUCUGGCACCGUUCUAAGAUGGGUCCUCUCUUCGUAGGCUAAUGCAUUGGCCCUUUUUGACCCGUUUUGGGGCGAAAACAAAAACUGACUCCCGGGCAUAUUUUUUUCGGCCUUUAUGGGCAGAGAACUUUAAUGCCGCUCAGAAUGAGGCCACCCAGUAGUUAGGUGUGAAUUUUCGAGACCUCUGGCACCGUUCUAAGAUGGGUCCUCUCUUCGUAGGCUAAUGCAUUGGCCCUUUUUGACCCGUUUUGGGGCGAAAACAAAAACUGACUCCCGGGCAUAUUUUUUUCGGCCUUUAUGGGCAGAGAACUUUAAUGCCGCUCAGAAUGAGGCCACCCAGUAGUUAGGUGUGAAUUUUCGAGACCUCUGGCACCGUUCUAAGAUGGGUCCUCUCUUCGUAGGCUAAUGCAUUGGCCCUUUUUGACCCGUUUUGGGGCGAAAACAAAAACUGACUCCCGGGCAUAUUUUUUUCGGCCUUUAUGGGCAGAGAACUUUAAUGCCGCUCAGAAUGAGGCCACCCAGUAGUUAGGUGUGAAUUUUCGAGACCUCUGGCACCGUUCUAAGAUGGGUCCUCUCUUCGUAGGCUAAUGCAUUGGCCCUUUUUGACCCGUUUUGGGGCGAAAACAAAAACUGACUCCCGGGCAUAUUUUUUUCGGCCUUUAUGGGCAGAGAACUUUAAUGCCGCUCAGAAUGAGGCCACCCAGUAGUUAGGUGUGAAUUUUCGAGACCUCUGGCACCGUUCUAAGAUGGGUCCUCUCUUCGUAGGCUAAUGCAUUGGCCCUUUUUGACCCGUUUUGGGGCGAAAACAAAAACUGACUCCCGGGCAUAUUUUUUUCGGCCUUUAUGGGCAGAGAACUUUAAUGCCGCUCAGAAUGAGGCCACCCAGUAGUUAGGUGUGAAUUUUCGAGACCUCUGGCACCGUUCUAAGAUGGGUCCUCUCUUCGUAGGCUAAUGCAUUGGCCCUUUUUGACCCGUUUUGGGGCGAAAACAAAAACUGACUCCCGGGCAUAUUUUUUUCGGCCUUUAUGGGCAGAGAACUUUAAUGCCGCUCAGAAUGAGGCCACCCAGUAGUUAGGUGUGAAUUUUCGAGACCUCUGGCACCGUUCUAAGAUGGGUCCUCUCUUCGUAGGCUAAUGCAUUGGCCCUUUUUGACCCGUUUUGGGGCGAAAACAAAAACUGACUCCCGGGCAUAUUUUUUUCGGCCUUUAUGGGCAGAGAACUUUAAUGCCGCUCAGAAUGAGGCCACCCAGUAGUUAGGUGUGAAUUUUCGAGACCUCUGGCACCGUUCUAAGAUGGGUCCUCUCUUCGUAGGCUAAUGCAUUGGCCCUUUUUGACCCGUUUUGGGGCGAAAACAAAAACUGACUCCCGGGCAUAUUUUUUUCGGCCUUUUAUGGGCAGAGAACUUUAAUGCCGCUCAGAAUGAGGCCACCCAGUAGUUAGGUGUGAAUUUUCGAGACCUCUGGCACCGUUCUAAGAUGGGUCCUCUCUUCGUAGGCUAAUGCAUUGGCCCUUUUUGACCCGUUUUGGGGCGAAAACAAAAACUGACUCCCGGGCAUAUUUUUUUCGGCCUUUAUGGGCAGAGAACUUUAAUGCCGCUCAGAAUGAGGCCACCCAGUAGUUAGGUGUGAAUUUUCGAGACCUCUGGCACCGUUCUAAGAUGGGUCCUCUCUUCGUAGGCUAAUGCAUUGGCCCUUUUUGACCCGUUUUGGGGCGAAAACAAAAACUGACUCCCGGGCAUAUUUUUUUCGGCCUUUAUGGGCAGAGAACUUUAAUGCCGCUCAGAAUGAGGCCACCCAGUAGUUAGGUGUGAAUUUUCGAGACCUCUGGCACCGUUCUAAGAUGGGUCCUCUCUUCGUAGGCUAAUGCAUUGGCCCUUUUUGACCCGUUUUGGGGCGAAAACAAAAACUGACUCCCGGGCAUAUUUUUUUCGGCCUUUAUGGGCAGAGAACUUUAAUGCCGCUCAGAAUGAGGCCACCCAGUAGUUAGGUGUGAAUUUUCGAGACCUCUGGCACCGUUCUAAGAUGGGUCCUCUCUUCGUAGGCUAAUGCAUUGGCCCUUUUUGACCCGUUUUGGGGCGAAAACAAAAACUGACUCCCGGGCAUAUUUUUUUCGGCCUUUAUGGGCAGAGAACUUUAAUGCCGCUCAGAAUGAGGCCACCCAGUAGUUAGGUGUGAAUUUUCGAGACCUCUGGCACCGUUCUAAGAUGGGUCCUCUCUUCGUAGGCUAAUGCAUUGGCCCUUUUUGACCCGUUUUGGGGCGAAAAAAAAAAACUGACUCCCGGGCAUAUUUUUUUCGGCCUUUAUGGGCAGAGAACUUUAAUGCCGCUCAGAAUGAGGCCACCCAGUAGUUAGGUGUGAAUUUUCGAGACCUCUGGCACCGUUCUAAGAUGGGUCCUCUCUUCGUAGGCUAAUGCAUUGGCCCUUUUUGACCCGUUUUGGGGCGAAAACAAAAACUGACUCCCGGGCAUAUUUUUUUCGGCCUUUAUGGGCAGAGAACUUUAAUGCCGCUCAGAAUGAGGCCACCCAGUAGUUAGGUGUGAAUUUUCGAGACCUCUGGCACCGUUCUAAGAUGGGUCCUCUCUUCGUAGGCUAAUGCAUUGGCCCUUUUUGACCCGUUUUGGGGCGAAAACAAAAACUGACUCCCGGGCAUAUUUUUUUCGGCCUUUAUGGGCAGAGAACUUUAAUGCCGCUCAGAAUGAGGCCACCCAGUAGUUAGGUGUGAAUUUUCGAGACCUCUGGCACCGUUCUAAGAUGGGUCCUCUCUUCGUAGGCUAAUGCAUUGGCCCUUUUUGACCCGUUUUGGGGCGAAAACAAAAACUGACUCCCGGGCAUAUUUUUUUCGGCCUUUAUGGGCAGAGAACUUUAAUGCCGCUCAGAAUGAGGCCACCCAGUAGUUAGGUGUGAAUUUUCGAGACCUCUGGCACCGUUCUAAGAUGGGUCCUCUCUUCGUAGGCUAAUGCAUUGGCCCUUUUUGACCCGUUUUGGGGCGAAAACAAAAACUGACUCCCGGGCAUAUUUUUUUCGGCCUUUAUGGGCAGAGAACUUUAAUGCCGCUCAGAAUGAGGCCACCCAGUAGUUAGGUGUGAAUUUUCGAGACCUCUGGCACCGUUCUAAGAUGGGUCCUCUCUUCGUAGGCUAAUGCAUUGGCCCUUUUUGACCCGUUUUGGGGCGAAAACAAAAACUGACUCCCGGGCAUAUUUUUUUCGGCCUUUAUGGGCAGAGAACUUUAAUGCCGCUCAGAAUGAGGCCACCCAGUAGUUAGGUGUGAAUUUUCGAGACCUCUGGCACCGUUCUAAGAUGGGUCCUCUCUUCGUAGGCUAAUGCAUUGGCCCUUUUUGACCCGUUUUGGGGCGAAAACAAAAACUGACUCCCGGGCAUAUUUUUUUCGGCCUUUAUGGGCAGAGAACUUUAAUACCGCUCAGAAUGAGGCCACCCAGUAGUUAGGUGUGAAUUUUCGAGACCUCUGGCACCGUUCUAAGAUGGGUCCUCUCUUCGUAGGCUAAUGCAUUGGCCCUUUUUGACCCGUUUUGGGGCGAAAACAAAAACUGACUCCCGGGCAUAUUUUUUUCGGCCUUUAUGGGCAGAGAACUUUAAUGCCGCUCAGAAUGAGGCCACCCAGUAGUUAGGUGUGAAUUUUCGAGACCUCUGGCACCGUUCUAAGAUGGGUCCUCUCUUCGUAGGCUAAUGCAUUGGCCCUUUUUGACCCGUUUUGGGGCGAAAACAAAAACUGACUCCCGGGCAUAUUUUUUUCGGCCUUUAUGGGCAGAGAACUUUAAUACCGCUCAGAAUGAGGCCACCCAGUAGUUAGGUGUGAAUUUUCGAGACCUCUGGCACCGUUCUAAGAUGGGUCCUCUCUUCGUAGGCUAAUGCAUUGGCCCUUUUUGACCCGUUUUGGGGCGAAAACAAAAACUGACUCCCGGGCAUAUUUUUUUCGGCCUUUAUGGGCAGAGAACUUUAAUACCGCUCAGAAUGAGGCCACCCAGUAGUUAGGUGUGAAUUUUCGAGACCUCUGGCACCGUUCUAAGAUGGGUCCUCUCUUCGUAGGCUAAUGCAUUGGCCCUUUUUGACCCGUUUUGGGGCGAAAACAAAAACUGACUCCCGGGCAUAUUUUUUUCGGCCUUUAUGGGCAGAGAACUUUAAUACCGCUCAGAAUGAGGCCACCCAGUAGUUAGGUGUGAAUUUUCGAGACCUCUGGCACCGUUCUAAGAUGGGUCCUCUCUUCGUAGGCUAAUGCAUUGGCCCUUUUUGACCCGUUUUGGGGCGAAAACAAAAACUGACUCCCGGGCAUAUUUUUUUCGGCCUUUAUGGGCAGAGAACUUUAAUACCGCUCAGAAUGAGGCCACCCAGUAGUUAGGUGUGAAUUUUCGAGACCUCUGGCACCGUUCUAAGAUGGGUCCUCUCUUCGUAGGCUAAUGCAUUGGCCCUUUUUGACCCGUUUUGGGGCGAAAACAAAAACUGACUCCCGGGCAUAUUUUUUUCGGCCUUUAUGGGCAGAGAACUUUAAUGCCGCUCAGAAUGAGGCCACCCAGUAGUUAGGUGUGAAUUUUCGAGACCUCUGGCACCGUUCUAAGAUGGGUCCUCUCUUCGUAGGCUAAUGCAUUGGCCCUUUUUGACCCGUUUUGGGGCGAAAACAAAAACUGACUCCCGGGCAUAUUUUUUUCGGCCUUUAUGGGCAGAGAACUUUAAUACCGCUCAGAAUGAGGCCACCCAGUAGUUAGGUGUGAAUUUUCGAGACCUCUGGCACCGUUCUAAGAUGGGUCCUCUCUUCGUAGGCUAAUGCAUUGGCCCUUUUUGACCCGUUUUGGGGCGAAAACAAAAACUGACUCCCGGGCAUAUUUUUUUCGGCCUUUAUGGGCAGAGAACUUUAAUGCCGCUCAGAAUGAGGCCACCCAGUAGUUAGGUGUGAAUUUUCGAGACCUCUGGCACCGUUCUAAGAUGGGUCCUCUCUUCGUAGGCUAAUGCAUUGGCCCUUUUUGACCCGUUUUGGGGCGAAAACAAAAACUGACUCCCGGGCAUAUUUUUUUCGGCCUUUAUGGGCAGAGAACUUUAAUGCCGCUCAGAAUGAGGCCACCCAGUAGUUAGGUGUGAAUUUUCGAGACCUCUGGCACCGUUCUAAGAUGGGUCCUCUCUUCGUAGGCUAAUGCAUUGGCCCUUUUUGACCCGUUUUGGGGCGAAAACAAAAACUGACUCCCGGGCAUAUUUUUUUCGGCCUUUAUGGGCAGAGAACUUUAAUACCGCUCAGAAUGAGGCCACCCAGUAGUUAGGUGUGAAUUUUCGAGACCUCUGGCACCGUUCUAAGAUGGGUCCUCUCUUCGUAGGCUAAUGCAUUGGCCCUUUUUGACCCGUUUUGGGGCGAAAACAAAAACUGACUCCCGGGCAUAUUUUUUUCGGCCUUUAUGGGCAGAGAACUUUAAUGCCGCUCAGAAUGAGGCCACCCAGUAGUUAGGUGUGAAUUUUCGAGACCUCUGGCACCGUUCUAAGAUGGGUCCUCUCUUCGUAGGCUAAUGCAUUGGCCCUUUUUGACCCGUUUUGGGGCGAAAACAAAAACUGACUCCCGGGCAUAUUUUUUUCGGCCUUUAUGGGCAGAGAACUUUAAUGCCGCUCAGAAUGAGGCCACCCAGUAGUUAGGUGUGAAUUUUCGAGACCUCUGGCACCGUUCUAAGAUGGGUCCUCUCUUCGUAGGCUAAUGCAUUGGCCCUUUUUGACCCGUUUUGGGGCGAAAACAAAAACUGACUCCCGGGCAUAUUUUUUUCGGCCUUUAUGGGCAGAGAACUUUAAUGCCGCUCAGAAUGAGGCCACCCAGUAGUUAGGUGUGAAUUUUCGAGACCUCUGGCACCGUUCUAAGAUGGGUCCUCUCUUCGUAGGCUAAUGCAUUGGCCCUUUUUGACCCGUUUUGGGGCGAAAACAAAAACUGACUCCCGGGCAUAUUUUUUUCGGCCUUUAUGGGCAGAGAACUUUAAUGCCGCUCAGAAUGAGGCCACCCAGUAGUUAGGUGUGAAUUUUCGAGACCUCUGGCACCGUUCUAAGAUGGGUCCUCUCUUCGUAGGCUAAUGCAUUGGCCCUUUUUGACCCGUUUUGGGGCGAAAACAAAAACUGACUCCCGGGCAUAUUUUUUUCGGCCUUUAUGGGCAGAGAACUUUAAUGCCGCUCAGAAUGAGGCCACCCAGUAGUUAGGUGUGAAUUUUCGAGACCUCUGGCACCGUUCUAAGAUGGGUCCUCUCUUCGUAGGCUAAUGCAUUGGCCCUUUUUGACCCGUUUUGGGGCGAAAACAAAAACUGACUCCCGGGCAUAUUUUUUUCGGCCUUUAUGGGCAGAGAACUUUAAUGCCGCUCAGAAUGAGGCCACCCAGUAGUUAGGUGUGAAUUUUCGAGACCUCUGGCACCGUUCUAAGAUGGGUCCUCUCUUCGUAGGCUAAUGCAUUGGCCCUUUUUGACCCGUUUUGGGGCGAAAACAAAAACUGACUCCCGGGCAUAUUUUUUUCGGCCUUUAUGGGCAGAGAACUUUAAUGCCGCUCAGAAUGAGGCCACCCAGUAGUUAGGUGUGAAUUUUCGAGACCUCUGGCACCGUUCUAAGAUGGGUCCUCUCUUCGUAGGCUAAUGCAUUGGCCCUUUUUGACCCGUUUUGGGGCGAAAACAAAAACUGACUCCCGGGCAUAUUUUUUUCGGCCUUUAUGGGCAGAGAACUUUAAUGCCGCUCAGAAUGAGGCCACCCAGUAGUUAGGUGUGAAUUUUCGAGACCUCUGGCACCGUUCUAAGAUGGGUCCUCUCUUCGUAGGCUAAUGCAUUGGCCCUUUUUGACCCGUUUUGGGGCGAAAACAAAAACUGACUCCCGGGCAUAUUUUUUUCGGCCUUUAUGGGCAGAGAACUUUAAUGCCGCUCAGAAUGAGGCCACCCAGUAGUUAGGUGUGAAUUUUCGAGACCUCUGGCACCGUUCUAAGAUGGGUCCUCUCUUCGUAGGCUAAUGCAUUGGCCCUUUUUGACCCGUUUUGGGGCGAAAACAAAAACUGACUCCCGGGCAUAUUUUUUUCGGCCUUUAUGGGCAGAGAACUUUAAUGCCGCUCAGAAUGAGGCCACCCAGUAGUUAGGUGUGAAUUUUCGAGACCUCUGGCACCGUUCUAAGAUGGGUCCUCUCUUCGUAGGCUAAUGCAUUGGCCCUUUUUGACCCGUUUUGGGGCGAAAACAAAAACUGACUCCCGGGCAUAUUUUUUUCGGCCUUUAUGGGCAGAGAACUUUAAUGCCGCUCAGAAUGAGGCCACCCAGUAGUUAGGUGUGAAUUUUCGAGACCUCUGGCACCGUUCUAAGAUGGGUCCUCUCUUCGUAGGCUAAUGCAUUGGCCCUUUUUGACCCGUUUUGGGGCGAAAACAAAAACUGACUCCCGGGCAUAUUUUUUUCGGCCUUUAUGGGCAGAGAACUUUAAUACCGCUCAGAAUGAGGCCACCCAGUAGUUAGGUGUGAAUUUUCGAGACCUCUGGCACCGUUCUAAGAUGGGUCCUCUCUUCGUAGGCUAAUGCAUUGGCCCUUUUUGACCCGUUUUGGGGCGAAAACAAAAACUGACUCCCGGGCAUAUUUUUUUCGGCCUUUAUGGGCAGAGAACUUUAAUGCCGCUCAGAAUGAGGCCACCCAGUAGUUAGGUGUGAAUUUUCGAGACCUCUGGCACCGUUCUAAGAUGGGUCCUCUCUUCGUAGGCUAAUGCAUUGGCCCUUUUUGACCCGUUUUGGGGCGAAAACAAAAACUGACUCCCGGGCAUAUUUUUUUCGGCCUUUAUGGGCAGAGAACUUUAAUACCGCUCAGAAUGAGGCCACCCAGUAGUUAGGUGUGAAUUUUCGAGACCUCUGGCACCGUUCUAAGAUGGGUCCUCUCUUCGUAGGCUAAUGCAUUGGCCCUUUUUGACCCGUUUUGGGGCGAAAACAAAAACUGACUCCCGGGCAUAUUUUUUUCGGCCUUUAUGGGCAGAGAACUUUAAUGCCGCUCAGAAUGAGGCCACCCAGUAGUUAGGUGUGAAUUUUCGAGACCUCUGGCACCGUUCUAAGAUGGGUCCUCUCUUCGUAGGCUAAUGCAUUGGCCCUUUUUGACCCGUUUUGGGGCGAAAACAAAAACUGACUCCCGGGCAUAUUUUUUUCGGCCUUUAUGGGCAGAGAACUUUAAUGCCGCUCAGAAUGAGGCCACCCAGUAGUUAGGUGUGAAUUUUCGAGACCUCUGGCACCGUUCUAAGAUGGGUCCUCUCUUCGUAGGGCUAAUGCAUUGGCCCUUUUUGACCCGUUUUGGGGCGAAAACAAAAACUGACUCCCGGGCAUAUUUUUUUCGGCCUUUAUGGGCAGAGAACUUUAAUACCGCUCAGAAUGAGGCCACCCAGUAGUUAGGUGUGAAUUUUCGAGACCUCUGGCACCGUUCUAAGAUGGGUCCUCUCUUCGUAGGCUAAUGCAUUGGCCCUUUUUGACCCGUUUUGGGGCGAAAACAAAAACUGACUCCCGGGCAUAUUUUUUUCGGCCUUUAUGGGCAGAGAACUUUAAUGCCGCUCAGAAUGAGGCCACCCAGUAGUUAGGUGUGAAUUUUCGAGACCUCUGGCACCGUUCUAAGAUGGGUCCUCUCUUCGUAGGCUAAUGCAUUGGCCCUUUUUGACCCGUUUUGGGGCGAAAACCAAAAACUGACUCCCGGGCAUAUUUUUUUCGGCCUUUAUGGGCAGAGAACUUUAAUACCGCUCAGAAUGAGGCCACCACCCAGUAGUUAGGUGUGAAUUUUCGAGACCUCUGGCACCGUUCUAAGAUGGGUCCUCUCUUCGUAGGCUAAUGCAUUGGCCCUUUUUGACCCGUUUUGGGGCGAAAACAAAAACUGACUCCCGGGCAUAUUUUUUUCGGCCUUUAUGGGCAGAGAAACUUUAAUGCCGCUCAGAAUGAGGCCACCCAGUAGUUAGGUGUGAAUUUUCGAGACCUCUGGCACCGUUCUAAGAUGGGUCCUCUCUUCGUAGGCUAAUGCAUUGGCCCUUUUUGACCCGUUUUGGGGCGAAAACAAAAACUGACUCCCGGGCAUAUUUUUUUCGGCCUUUAUGGGCAGAGAACUUUAAUACCGCUCAGAAUGAGGCCACCCAGUAGUUAGGUGUGAAUUUUCGAGACCUCUGGCACCGUUCUAAGAUGGGUCCUCUCUUCGUAGGCUAAUGCAUUGGCCCUUUUUGACCCGUUUUGGGGCGAAAACAAAAACUGACUCCCGGGCAUAUUUUUUUCGGCCUUUAUGGGCAAAGAACUUUAAUGCCGCUCAGAAUGAGGCCACCCAGUAGUUAGGUGUGAAUUUUCGAGACCUCUGGCACCGUUCUAAGAUGGGUCCUCUCUUCGUAGGCUAAUGCAUUGGCCCUUUUUGACCCGUUUUGGGGCGAAAAACAAAAACUGACUCCCGGGCAUAUUUUUUUCGGCCUUUAUGGGCAAAGAACUUUAAUGCCGCUCAGAAUGAGGCCACCCAGUAGUUAGGUGUGAAUUUUCGAGACCUCUGGCACCGUUCUAAGAUGGGUCCUCUCUUCGUAGGCUAAUGCAUUGGCCCUUUUUGACCCGUUUUGGGGCGAAAACAAAAAACUGACUCCCGGGCAUAUUUUUUUCGGCCUUUAUGGGCAGAGAACUUUAAUGCCGCUCAGAAUGAGGCCACCC
rnacentral:lncRNA from 1 species